rnacentral:rRNA from 1 species
UAGGGAAUCUUCCGCAAUGGGCGAAAGCUUGACGGAGCCACGCCGCGUGAGUGAUGAAGGUCUUCGGUUCGUAAAACUCUUUUAUUAGGGAAGAACAAAUGUGUAAGUAUCUAUGCACGUCUUGACGGUACCUAAUCAGAAAGCCACGUCUAACUACGUGCCAGCAGCCGCGGUAAUACGUAGGUGGCAAGCGUUAUCCGGAAUUAUUGGGCGUAAAGCGCGCGUAGGCGGUUUUUUAAGUCUGAUGUGAAAGCCCACGGCUCAACCGUGGAGGGUCAUUGGAAACUGGAAAACUUGAGUGCAGAAGAGGAAAGUGGAAUUCCAUGUGUAGCGGUGAAAUGCGCAGAGAUAUGGAGGAACACCAGUGGCGAAGGCGACUUUCUGGUCUGUAACUGACGCUGAUGUGCGAAAGCGUGGGGAUCAAACAGG